rnacentral:rRNA from 1 species
UACGGAGGGUGCGAGCGUUGUCCGGAAUCAUUGGGCGUAAAGGGCGCGUAGGUGGCCCGGUCAGUCUUUGGUGAAAGUCCGGGGCUCAACCCCGGGAGGCGGGUGGAUACUGUCGAGCUCGAGUCCGGAAGAGGCGAGUGGAAUUCCUGGUGUAGCGGUGAAAUGCGCAGAUAUCAGGAAGAACACCGGUGGCGAAGGCGGCGAGCUGGCCUGUUACUGACGCUGAGGCGCGACAGCGUGGGGAGCAAACAGG